UCACGGAGAGUUUGAUCCUGGCUCAGGACGAACGCUGGCGGCGUGCUUAACACAUGCAAGUCGAACGAUGAAGCCGCUUCGGUGGUGGAUUAGUGGCGAACGGGUGAGUAACACGUGGGCAAUCUGCCCUGCACUCUGGGACAAGCCCUGGAAACGGGGUCUAAUACCGGAUAUGACACGGGAUCGCAUGGUCUCCGUGUGGAAAGCUCCGGCGGUGCAGGAUGAGCCCGCGGCCUAUCAGCUUGUUGGUGGGGUGAUGGCCUACCAAGGCGACGACGGGUAGCCGGCCUGAGAGGGCGACCGGCCACACUGGGACUGAGACACGGCCCAGACUCCUACGGGAGGCAGCAGUGGGGAAUAUUGCACAAUGGGCGCAAGCCUGAUGCAGCGACGCCGCGUGAGGGAUGACGGCCUUCGGGUUGUAAACCUCUUUCAGCAGGGAAGAAGCGCGAGUGACGGUACCUGCAGAAGAAGCACCGGCUAACUACGUGCCAGCAGCCGC
rnacentral:rRNA from 1 species